rnacentral:rRNA from 1 species
UACGGAGGGUGCAAGCGUUAUCCGGAUUCACUGGGUUUAAAGGGAGCGUAGGUGGGCUUGUAAGUCAGUGGUGAAAUCUCCGGGCUUAACCCGGAAAGGUCAACUGAUACUGCAGGGCUAGAGUGCAGAAGGGGCAACUGGAAUUCUCGGUGUAGCGGUGAAAUGCGUAGAUAUCGAGAGGAACACCUGCGGCGAAGGCGGGUUGCUGGGCUGACACUGACGCUGAUGUGCGAAAGCUAGGGGAGCGAACGGG